rnacentral:rRNA from 1 species
AGAGCGAACGCUGGCGGCAUGCUUAACACAUGCAAGUCGCACGGGCAGCAAUGUCAGUGGCGGACGGGUGAGUAACGCGUAGGCAUCUAUCCUUGGGUGGGGGACAACGGCUGGAAACGGCUGCUAAUACCGCAUGAUAACUGAGGUUUAAAGGCGCAAGUCGCCUGGGGAGGAGCCUGCGUACGAUUAGCUAGUUGGUGGGGUAAAGGCCUACCAAGGCAACGAUCGUUAGCUGGUCUGAGAGGAUGAUCAGCCACAUUGGGACUGAGACACGGCCCAAACUCCUACGGGAGGCAGCAGUGGGGAAUAUUGGACAAUGGGCGAAAGCCUGAUCCAGCAAUGCCGCGUGUGUGAAGAAGGUCUUCGGAUUGUAAAGCACUUUCGACAGGGACGAUGAUGACGGUACCUGUAGAAGAAGCCCGGCUAACUUCGCGCCAGCAGCCGC